AGUUAGGAAAUGCAGGUGCGUUAAUAGCGCACUUGCUUGACUAAGGCUCCAGAGGAAGCCACGGCUAACUCUGUGCCAGCAGCCGCGGUAAUACAGAGGCGGCAAGCGUUGUUCGGAAUUAUUGGGCGUAAAGAGCACGCAGGCGGCCUUGCAAGUCAGUUGUGAAAGCCUUCCGCUUAACGGAAGAACGGCAUCUGAUACUACAGGGCUUGAGUACGGGAGGGGAGAGUGGAACUUCUGGU
rnacentral:rRNA from 1 species